AUGGCGGAGAUGCACAAGUACGGGCUGUCCAACCAGCCCCCAGAUAUCCCCCAGAUACUGCAGGAAGCACAGAAUCGAUGGCUGCGACCCACUGAAAUCUGCCAAAUACUGUCGAAUUACAAGAAGUUCUCCAUUGCGCCCGAGCCGCCAAACAGGCCUCCAAGUGGUUCACUGUUUCUGUUUGACCGGAAAAUAUUGAGAUACUUCAGAAAGGAUGGACACAUCUGGAGAAAGAAGAAGGAUGGCAAGACAGUAAAGGAAGCUCAUGAAAAGCUGAAAGUUGGCAGUGUUGAUGUACUUCACUGCUAUUAUGCCCAUGGGGAAGAGAAUGAGAACUUCCAAAGACGGACCUAUUGGUUGUUAGAAGAGGGAUUCAUGAAUAUUGUUCUUGUGCACUAUCUUGAAAUCAAGGGUGGCAAACAAAGUUUAAGUCGUUCGAAAGAAGCUGAAGAUAGUCCUGCUUGUUCAAACUCUUUUGCUAGUCAGAGCCAGGUAGCCUCCCAAACUAUGGAUGCUGAAAGCCCAUAUAGUGGACAGAUUUCGGAAUAUGAAGAUGCUGAAACAGAUAAUUCUCGAGCAAGCUCCAGAUACCACCCUUUCGUUGAGAUGCAGCAGCCUGUGGAUGGAGUCAUGAUGGAUAAUCGGUUGGGUGCUCCAGCUCCAAGUACUUCUGUAAAUAAUCUAGGUUAUCAGGAUGAAAAGCAGGCUAGAACAGCUAACAUAAGCAAUAAUUUUGUUACUCACCAUGGCAUAACUAGUGUGUUCAAUGAUGUUGGAGCUGGAUUAAGGAGUGGUUCCAAAACUGCACUCGAUUCAGUGCACUUUGGUGAGCCCUUUCCAGAAUAUCCAACUGGAUUCAUGGAGCCGACACUCUAUUCUUCCGUUACCACCAUGGGGUCUAACAGUCUGGAUGAUAACUCUCGCUUAGAAACAUUGAUGACUGAGGCACUGUACACCAACAACCUUACUCAAAAAGAAACGGAUGCGCUGAGUGCUGCAGGCAUGACGUCCUCGCAGGUGCAUAAUGAUAGCUAUACAGAUGGAAGCAUGGGCUAUCCGCUAUUAAAGCAGUCAUCAUUGGACCUCUUUAAGAUUGAGCCCAAUGGGUUGAAGAAAUUUGACAGCUUCUCGAAAUGGAUGAGUGAUGAACUUGCAGCUGAUCUGGAUAUCAAAUCCAGUUCUGAUGCUUUCUGGAGCAGUACUGAAACUGUAAAUGUUGCUGAUGGCUCUAGUAUGAGUAUACCUAUGAACGAGCAGCUAGAUGCAUAUGCGGUCAGCCCCUCGCUUUCCCAAGAUCAGCUCUUUAGCAUUAUUGAUGUUUCCCCAAGCUGGGCGUACAAUGGCUCUCAAAAUAAGGUCUUAAUUACUGGUACAUUCUUGACAAAUAAAGAACAUGUCGAAAAUUGUAAGUGGUCAUGUAUGUUCGGGGAUGUUGAAGUACCGGUUGAGGUUUUAGCAGAUGGCUCCCUGCGCUGCUAUACACCAGUACAUCAAUCUGGACGAGUUCCAUUUUAUGUGACAUGCUCUAAUAGGGUAGCUUGUAGUGAAGUAAGAGAAUUCGAGUUUCGUGAUUCCGAGACCCAGUAUAUGGAGGCAGCAGAUCCCCAUAUUACUGGUAUCAAUGAAAUGCAUUUACAUAUUCGUCUUGAGAAGUUGCUUUCCCUGGGACCAGAUGACUAUGAGAAGUAUGUUAUGAGUGAUGGAAAUGAGAAGUCCGAGUUAAUCAGCACUAUUGGUUCCCUGAUGCUUGAUGAUAAAUUUACAAACCUGUCAGCACCAUCGGAUGAAAAAGAACUUUCUGCUGCACAGGACAAGAAUCUUGAGAGAUCGGUCAAAGAUAAGCUAUAUUAUUGGCUUAUCCAUAAGAUACAUGAUGAUGGGAAAGGUCCCAAUGUGUUAGGCAAGGAAGGGCAAGGCGUGAUCCAUUUAGUAGCUGCACUUGGCUAUGAUUGGGCUAUAAGACCAAUUAUUGCUGCAGGCGUACAUGUGAACUUUAGGGAUGUGCGUGGAUGGACUGCGCUUCACUGGGCCGCGUCAUGUGGAAGAGAGCGAACAGUUGGUGCCCUGAUAACAAAUGGAGCUGCAGCUGGUGCAUUAACAGACCCAACUCCUCAUUUCCUAUCUGGAAGAACGCCUGCUGAUUUAGCAUCAGAGAAUGGACACAAAGGCAUUGCAGGUUUUCUUGCAGAGUCUGCCUUGACAAGUCAUCUUUCAGCACUUACAUUGAAAGAAGCAAAGGGUUGCAAUGUGGAAGAAAUAUGUGGAUCAGCUGAAGCCGAUGGCUUUGCAGAACCAAGUUCUGCUCAGCUUUCUCGCCAAGAUUCUCAGGCAGAGUCAUUAAAAGAUUCACUUAGUGCUGUUCGUAAAUCAACUCUAGCUGCAUCCAAAAUAUUUCAAGCUUUUAGGGUGGAGUCAUUCCACAGAAAGAAGGUGGUUGAAUAUGGAGAUGAUGAUUGCGGAUUAUCUGAUGAGCGCACUCUUUCACUUGUUUCUCUUAAAAAUACCAAAUCUGGACAGAAUGAUAUGCCGCAUUCUGCUGCAGUUCGUAUCCAAAACAAGUUCAGAGGAUGGAAAGGAAGAAAGGAAUUUAUGAUUAUUCGACAGAAAAUCAUCAAGAUACAGGCUCAUGUAAGAGGACAUCAAGUAAGGAGAAACUAUAAAAAGGUAGUUUGGUCAGUAGGCAUCGUGGAGAAAGUUAUACUGAGGUGGAGGAGAAAGGGAAGGGGCUUGCGUGGUUUCCAACCUGACAAACAACUUGAAGGGCCGUCCUCGCAGAUCCAACCUGCAGAAGGUGGAUCUGCAGAAGGUGAAGAUGAAUACGACUUCCUGAAGGAUGGCAGGAAGCAGGCUGAAGGCAGACUACAGAGGUCAUUAGCUCGUGUGAAAUCAAUGACUCAAUACCCAGAAGCAAGAGAACAAUACAGUAGGCUGCAAGCCUGUGUUACAGAACUACAAGAGUCCAAGGCGAUACAGGAUAAGAUGCUAAGCGAUGCAGCUGGCGUCGAUGGAGGUGAUUUCAUGGUUGAUUUGGAGAAUUUGUGCGCGGAUGAGCUUUUAGACACACCGAUGUCCACUGUUUUGUGA
rnacentral:rRNA from 1 species